AUCUAAAAAUUUGUAAAUAUUGUUUAAUAAAGCUUGUUGAAGUUAAAAUAUGAAAACCAAUUUUUUAAAAAGUAAAGGUUAUUGAAAUUUAAUUUUAAACUAUAGAUUAAAAGUACUGUGAAGGAAAAAUGAAAAGAUAAAGAAAUUGAUAUAGAAAUUUUUAAAAAUUGUACCUUGUGUAUCAGGGAGAAUUAAAAUUAGUUAAAUACAAUUAAAAAUCUCGAAAUAAAUAACAGUUAAUUUUUUAUAAAGUUUUUGUAGUAAAAAGAUUUUAAAUUUAAAAUUAAAGAUGAGAUAUCAGUCGAGUUUUAUUAUAUCUAGUUUUUUGAAAAAUGAAUUGAAUUCAAGCUUUAAUUGUAAAAUAAUAAAUUUAAAGCCUAGGGGUAGAAGGGAAGAGCUUUUUAUCCGAAAUUUCUGGAAUAAUAGUUAAAUGAAUAUGGGUUUUAUACUAGGCUUAGAAGUAGCUACGAUUUUAAAGUGUUUAAACUGAGAAAGGGAAAAGAAUAAUUUAUUGAAACUUUAAUCGGUAUUGAGAAGCUAAUGUGAAUGUUACAUGUUUGGUUAUAUUGAUUCUAUUAGUAGAAAUGAAAAUGUUUAUAAGUGAGUUUAUAAUGUAAAAUGUAGUUUUUUAAAAUAAAGGUAUUAUAAAGGAACUCGGCAAAAAUAUUUUCUUGCCUGUUUAUCAAAAACAUGUCUACUUGAAGCUAUAAGUAGUCUGGCCUGCUCACUGAUAAAAUUAUUUAAGAGCCGCGGUAUAUUGACCGUGCAAAGGUAGCAUAAUCAUUAGAGGUUUAAUUGGAAUCUGGUAUGAAUGGUCGGACAAAGGAAAAACUGUCUUUAUAAUAAAAAUUGAAAUUUACAUUUAAGUGAAAAGGCUUAAAUAGGCCGGGGGGACGAUAAGACCCUAUAAAGCUUUAUAAAUAAUUUAAAUUUAGUUAAUUUAAAUUAUAAAAGCUAAGUUUGGUUGUUUUAUUUUGUUGGGGUGAUGUGAGCAUAAUUAAAAUUAACUGCUUAAAAAAAAUUCUGUAUAAAAGAAUUAUAGUAAUAUGAUCCUUUUUAAAGAUUAAAAGACUAAGUUACUUUAGGGGUAACAGCGUUAUUUCUUUUGAGAGUUCAUAUCGAAAAAGAAGAUUGCGACCUCGAUGUUGAAUUAGAGUAUCUAUAUAAUGCAGCCGUUAUAAAAGAGGGUCUGUUCGACCUUUAAAUUUUUACAUGAUUUGAGUUCAGACCGGCGUGAGCCAGGUCGGUUUCUAUCUCUUGGUAAAUAAUGGAUCACUUUAGUACGAAAGGAUUGAGUGAGUUUAAAUAAUUUAGUUUAGUGAAAUG
rnacentral:rRNA from 1 species